UCCUACGGGAGGCAGCAGUGGGGAAUAUUGGACAAUGGGGGAAACCCUGAUCCAGCAAUGCCGCGUGGGUGAUGAAGGCCUUCGGGUUGUAAAGCCCUUUUGGCGGGGACGAUGAUGACGGUACCCGCAGAAUAAGCCCCGGCUAACUUCGUGCCAGCAGCCGCGGUA
rnacentral:rRNA from 1 species